UACAGAGGGUGCGAGCGUUAAUCGGAAUUACUGGGCGUAAAGCGUGCGUAGACGGUUACGUAAGUCAGAUGUGAAAGCCCCGGGCUCAACCUGGGAAUUGCAUUUGAGACUGCGUAGCUAGGGUGCGGAAGAGGGAAGCGGAAUUUCCGGUGUAGCGGUGAAAUGCGUAGAUAUCGGAAGGAACACCAGUGGCGAAAGCGGCUUCCUGGUCCAGCACCGACGUUCAGGCACGAAAGCGUGGGGAAGCAAACAGG
rnacentral:rRNA from 1 species